UACGUAGGGGGCUAGCGUUGUUCGGAAUUACUGGGCGUAAAGCGCACGUAGGCGGCUUGUUAAGUCGGGGGUGAAAUCCUGGAGCUCAACUCCAGAACUGCCUUCGAUACUGGCGAUCUCGAGUUCGGGAGAGGUGAGUGGAACUGCGAGUGUAGAGGUGAAAUUCGUAGAUAUUCGCAAGAACACCAGUGGCGAAGGCGGCUCACUGGCCCGAUACUGACGCUGAGGUGCGAAAGCGUGGGGAGCAAACAGG
rnacentral:rRNA from 1 species